CUUUUUUGGGGAAUCACCUCUCCACAAAGAUCAGUCUGAGGACUCAAAGUCUGCCCCUCGAGGUCAUGGUCACGAUCCAUGGUUGGAAAAAAGCUUUUAAGCUUAAGAGAUCCAGAGACUCAACAGUGCACUGGCAUUGCCUGGCACACAGUACAAUGGUCCGUGGGAGGAUUUUAACCUCUGCAUGAAGUGCUGUGCUAGACCCUGGAAACAGGAUUAACUUAUUCCCUCUAUUUAAGAGUGAAGCACUGCUAAAAGGUAAACACAUGUGGACUGAGAAGCUUGCCUUCCCUGGGAGCACAACACAAGAAG